rnacentral:lncRNA from 1 species
UAUUUUAUUUUAGAAUUGCCUGUGUAUCUAUCUGUCUCUUCUGAUAGAAUGUAAGCUCCCCAAGGGCCAAGAUUCUGUAUGAACCAUUCACCAACGUAUCCCCAGUGCCCAGAAUGGUGCCUGGCAUAUGUGCUUAACAAAAUAAACUGACUGGAUUAUUUAUCCAUAUUCACUUACUUCAGUAACUGGGUCUUUGAUUUUACCCAGUCCCGAUAAUUGGGUCUUGGGUCUGUGUUCCCAUAAGGGCCCUGCCUGGCACCUCACUUCCAUGAUCUUCCAGAGCCUGGGAGCCCACAGCCCAUGCCCCUGAUGCUUCUCUUGGCAGUCCCAACUCUUACUAUGCCCUUUUCCUUGUGGAGGCUGGAGUUCCUCCACCUGCCAUGUCAGCCUCAUCCUGACUGGUAGGGCUUGGGCUGGGACCCCAGAGCCCUGAUUCCUCCCACCACUUCCCACCACCAAGUCCUGAAGGACAGAGACAUCUGCAUCUCCUACCAUUCCCCAACAUGACUCCUCUGCCCCAGCCAGGCCAAGCCGAACUCCCUGCCGCCACCAUCACGAGGGAUGCUCCUCUUCAUGCCAGGCUCAUUCUUCCCUCCCCACCUUUGUUCCUGCUGUACCCAGCUUCCUUUGUGUUUUUCCCCACCAAUUAAAAUCGUGCCCAUCUUCACGUUUCAGCUCAGGGGUCUUCUUUAUAAAGUUCUCAGACACAUUGUGAAAUGGUUAUAUGGCCUCAUGGAAAAAAAGAACAAACAGAGAUUUUGGAAUCAGGCAGGGUUCAAGUUCUGACCACAUUUCCUUCUG